UCUAAUUAGCAAUAGAACUAAAGAUCAAAUCUCAAUUUAUCUGGAUUAAACCUUCAUGCCUAGAUAUGCAGACCCUUUACUUCACAUGCACGCUAGACGUCGCAGGAAAAUAGGAUGAACUCCAAUCUAAUUGCCUUCGCAAGCCAACCAAAUGAGGAAGAAGAUGUACUGGUGUGACACCUCACCAAAAUAUGGGAUACCCAAG
rnacentral:lncRNA from 1 species